GACUCCGUAGCUCAGCUGGAUAGAGCGCUCGCCUUCUAAGCGAGUGGUCGCAGGUUCAAAUCCUGCCGGGGUCACCA
rnacentral:tRNA from 1 species